rnacentral:rRNA from 1 species
GAUGAACGCUGGCGGCGUGCCUAAUACAUGCAAGUCGAGCGAACAGACGAGGAGCUUGCUCCUCUGACGUUAGCGGCGGACGGGUGAGUAACACGUGGAUAACCUACCUAUAAGACUGGGAUAACUUCGGGAAACCGGAGCUAAUACCGGAUAAUAUAUUGAACCGCAUGGUUCAAUAGUGAAAGCCGGUUUUGCUGUCACUUAUAGAUGGAUCCGCGCCGCAUUAGCUAGUUGGUAAGGUAACGGCUUACCAAGGCAACGAUGCGUAGCCGACCUGAGAGAGUGAUCGGCCACACUGGAACUGAGACACGGUCCAGACUCCUACGGGAGGCAGCAGUAGGGAAUCUUCCGCAAUGGGCGAAAGCCUGACGGAGCAACGCCGCGUGAGUGAUGAAGGUCUUCGGAUCGUAAAACUCUGUUAUUAGGGAAGAACAAAUGUGUAAGUAACUAUGCACGUCUUGACGGUACCUAAUCAGAAAGCCACGGCUAACUACGUG